GGGGCUGUAGCUUAGUGGUAGAGCGCUUGCUUUACACGUGUGAGGCACCAGGUUCGAUCCUCAGCACCA
rnacentral:tRNA from 1 species